AUUGAACGCUGGCGGCAGGCCUAACACAUGCAAGUCGAACGAGUGGCGGACGGGUGAGUAAUUUCUGGGAAACUGCCCGAUGGAGGGGGCUAACUCCUGGAAACGGUAGCUAAUACCGCAUACCCUCGGAUGUGCCCAGAUGGGAUUAGCUAGUAGGUGGGGUAAAGGCUCACCUAGGCGACGAUCCCUAGCUGGUCUGAGAGGAUGACCAGCCACACUGGAACUGAGACACGGCCCAGACUCCUACGGGAGGCAGCAGUGGGGAAUAUUGCACAAUGGGCGCAAGCCGGAUGCAGCCAUGCCGCGUGUAUGAAGAAGGCUUUCGGGUUGUAAAGUACUUUCAGCGGGGAGGCGUUACCCGCAGAAGAAGCACCGGCUAACUCCGUGCCAGCAGCCGCGGUAAUUC
rnacentral:rRNA from 1 species